AUCAUUAAAAAACACUUACCCCGUCCAUUUCCUGCGUCCAGAGAAUUUAGAAACACAAUUCCCUUUUACCCCAAAAUCCCCAUUUCAGCACCAACCCGCGUCAUUCUCCAUUGCCGUCGCCGCUCCGUCACGGUUGCUUCGCCGGCGCUCCUCAACACACACUCUCUCUCAACCAUAAACCCUACUCCGACGCCUUACUCAAACCAAGGGUUUUCAGUGAGGAUGACAGGCAGGAGCACGUAAUUUGAAAACCCUUAUCGUCGUUGGUUCCGAAGUUCCCUCCGCCAUUGUCGCUGGUUCUACUUGCCGUCGCUGCUAGCUCGUGCUUAUCCAAUGGCAUGGUGAGGGUGAGUUACCUGCUCUCCUGCUUGUGUUUGGAUUCUUCCCUACUCCCCUGCUCCCCUACUUAGCUAAUUAAUUUGUUGAUUUGGGGUUUCAUAUUUUAGAUAAUUAGUUUGUUGAUUGGUUUUUAAUGGAUGAUUUAGUAAUUAGGUUUUAAAUUUAGAUUUUUAAUUUAGUCUGUUUAUUGAUUGACAAAACAUAUGGAGGGAGGGAAUUCGUAAUGCUGAACUGAACACCCAAUAAUUGUUGCAGUUAUCUCAGUUGUUGAUAUUUUGCUAAAAAUGUGCUAGGAAUUUAAGAUUUUGACCCAAAAACCAGCAUGCACAGUAGUUAGAUCCACUAGUAAAUACUAAAUAUUAGUAGGCUAAUAGCUCUCUCUUGAUUAAGUUUAAGUUUUCAAUUUGGUUAGCAAAUAUUCUUUGAUUCUCUCUCUGUAUCUAUCUGUGUAUGUAGGUAGAUUUUGUGUUGCUUUUGAUGUGCUGUGUUUGAAAAACUUACAACAACAACAACGUUUGUUUAGAUUCUGUAUUUGCUACAGGGAUAUAGAGGCUAAGAAACAAAGAUAAAGGAGAAAGUCGGGGAGAAUAUAUUCUCAUUUGGAA